rnacentral:rRNA from 1 species
UACAUGGGGUGCAAACGUUGCUCGGAAUUAUUGGGCGUAAAGCGCGCGUAGGCGGUUACUCAAGUCGGAUGUGAAAGCCCUCGGCUUAACUGAGGAAGUGCACCCGAAACUGAGUAGCUAGAGUACCAAAGAGGGUCGCGGAAUUCCCGGUGUAGAGGUGAAAUUCGUAGAGAUCGGGAGGAACAUCAGUGGCGAAGGCGGCCAUCUGGGACAACACUGACGCUGAAGCACGAAAGCGUGGGGAGCAAACAGG